rnacentral:sRNA from 1 species
GUUUAGCCCAGAUUGAAACGGCAUCCUUUUUAUGCCUAACUUGUUUUAGUAACUCUUUUUAUAAAUUAAUUCCUUUUCUUUUAAAAGAUGCUGAAAUAAAUUUAGCAUUCAUAAAAAGAUAUAGUGUAAAGCUGGAAAUAGC